CUACGGGGGGCAGCAGUGGGGAAUAUUGCACAAUGGGCGCAAGCCUGCUGCAGCCAUGCCGCGUGUGUGAAGAAGGCCUUCGGGUUGUAAAGCACUUUCAGCGGGGAGGAAGGCGGUGAGGUUAAUAACCUCAUCGAUUGACGUUACCCGCAGAAGAAGCACCGGCUAACUCCGUGCCAGCAGCCGCGGUGAUACGGAGGGUGCAAGCGUUAAUCGGAAUUACUGGGCGUAAAGCGCACGCAGGCGGUCUGUCAAGUCGGAUGUGAAAUCCCCGGGCUCAACCUGGGAACUGCAUUCGAAACUGGCAGGCUAGAGUCUUGUAGAGGGGGGUAGAAUUCCAGGUGUAGCGGUGAAAUGCGUAGAGAUCUGGAGGAAUACCGGUGGCGAAGGCGGCCCCCUGGACAAAGACUGACGCUCAGGUGCGAAAGCGUGGGGAGCAAACAGGAUUAGAUACCCGUGUAGUC
rnacentral:rRNA from 1 species